rnacentral:rRNA from 1 species
AGCAUUCCCGUAGUAGCGGCGAGCGAAGCGGGAAGAGCUCAAAUUUAUAAUCUGGCACCUUCGGUGUCCGAGUUGUAAUCUCUAGAAAUGUUUUCCGCGUUGGACCGCACACAAGUCUGUGAUACAUUUUCGAAGAGUCGAGUUGUUUGGGAAUGCAGCUCAAAUUGGGUGGUAAAUUCCAUCUAAAGCUAAAUAUUGGCGAGAGACCGAUAGCGAACAAGUACCGUGAGGGAAAGAUGAAAAGCACUUUGGAAAGAGAGUUAACAGUACGUGAAAUUGUUGGAAGGGAAACGCUUGAAGUCAGACUUGCUUGCUGAGCAAUCGGUUUGCAGGCCAGCAUCAGUUUUCCGGGAUGGAUAAUGGUAGAGAGAAGGUAGCAGUUUCGGCUGUGUUAUAGCUCUCUGCUGGAUACAUCUUGGGGGACUGAGGAACGCAGUGUGCCUUUGGCGGGGGUUUCGACCUCUUCACACUUAGGAUGCUGGUGGAAUGGCUUUAAACGACCCGUCUUGAACCACGGACC